rnacentral:rRNA from 1 species
AUUGAACGCUGGCGGCAGGCCUAACACAUGCAAGUCGAACGGUAACAGGAAGCAGCUUGCUGCUUUGCUGACGAGUGGCGGACGGGUGAGUAAUGUCUGGGAAACUGCCCGAUGGAGGGGGAUAACUACUGGAAGCGGUAGCUAAUACCGCAUAACGUCGCAAGACCAAAGAGGGGGACCUUAGGGCCUCUUGCCAUCGGAUGUGCGCAGAUGGGAUUAGCUAGUAGGUGGGGUAACGGCUCACCUAGGCGACGAUCCCUAGCUGGUCUGAGAGGAUGACCAGACACACUGGAAGUGAGACACGGUCCAGACUCCUACGGGAGGAAGCAGUGGGGAAUAUUGCACGAUGGGCGAAAGCCUGAUGCAGCCAUGCCGCGUGUAUGAAGAAGGCCUUCGGGUUGUAAAGUAAUUUCAGCGGGGAGGAAGGGAGUAAAGUUAAUACCUUUGCUCAUUGACGUUACCCGCAGAAGAAGCACCGGCUAACUCCGUG